rnacentral:rRNA from 1 species
GAUGAACGCUGGCGGCGUGCCUAAUACAUGCAAGUCGAGCGAACGGACGAGAAGCUUGCUUCUCUGAUGUUAGCGGCGGUCGGGUGAGUAACACGUGGAUAACCUACCUAUAAGACUGGGAUAACUUCGGGAAACCGGAGCUAAUACCGGAUAAUAUUUUGAACCGCAUGGUUCAAAAGUGAAAGACGGUCUUGCUGUCACUUAUAGAUGGAUCCGCGCUGCAUUAGCUAGUUGGUAAGGUAACGGCUUACCAAGGCAACGAUGCAUAGCCGACCUGAGAGGGUGAUCGGCCACACUGGAACUGAGACACGGUCCAGACUCCUACGGGAGGCAGCAGUAGGGAAUCUUCCGCAGUGGGCGAAAGCCUGACGGAGCAACGCCGCGUGAGUGAUGAAGGUCUUCGGAUCGUAAAACUCUGUUAUUAGGGAAGAACAUAUGUGUAAGUAACUGUGCACAUCUUGACGGUACCUAAUCAGAAAGCCACGGCUAACUACGUG